UGGGGAAUUUUGCGCAAUGGGGGAAACCCUGACGCAGCAACGCCGCGUGGAGGAUGAAGUACUUCGGUACGUAAACUCCUUUCGAUCGGGACGAUAAUGACGGUACCGGAAGAAGAAGCCCCGGCUAACUUCGUGCCAGCAGCCGCGGUAAUACGAGGGGGGCAAGCGUUGUUCGGAAUUAUUGGGCGUAAAGGGUGCGUAGGCGGUCUGACAAGUCUGAUGUGAAAUCUAUGGGCUCAACCCAUAGUCUGCAUCGGAAACUGUCGGGCUUGAGUAUGGGAGAGGUGAGUGGAAUUUCCGGUGUAGCGGUGAAAUGCGUAGAUAUCGGAAGGAACACCUGUGGCGAAAGCGGCUCACUGGACCAUUACUGACGCUGAGGCACGAAAGCUAGGGGAGCAAACAGGAUUAGAUACCCUGGUAGUCCUAGCCCUAAACGAUGAUUGCUUGAUGUGGCAGGUACCCAAUCCUGCCGUGUCGAAGCUAACGCGAUAAGCAAUCCGCCUGGGGAGUACGGUCGCAAGGCUG
rnacentral:rRNA from 1 species